rnacentral:rRNA from 1 species
AGGACGAACGCUGGCGGCGUGCCUAAUACAUGCAAGUCGAGCGAAUGAUAAGGAGCUUGCUCCUUGAUUUAGCGGCGGACGGGUGAGUAACACGUGGGUAACCUACCCUAUAGACUGGGAUAACUUCGGGAAACCGGAGCUAAUACCGGAUAAUACUUUUGAACACAUGUUCGAAAGUUGAAAGAUGGUUUCGGCUAUCACUAUAGGAUGGACCCGCGGCGCAUUAGCUAGUUGGUGGGGUAAUGGCUCACCAAGGCAACGAUGCGUAGCCGACCUGAGAGGGUGAUCGGCCACACUGGGACUGAGACACGGCCCAGACUCCUACGGGAGGCAGCAGUAGGGAAUCUUCCACAAUGGACGAAAGUCUGAUGGAGCAACGCCGCGUGAAGUGAAGAAGGAUUUCGGUUCGUAAAACUCUGUUGCAAGGGAAGAACAAGUAGCGUAGUAACUGGCGCUACCUUGACGGUACCUUGUUAGAAAGCCACGGCUAACUACGUGCCAGCAGCAGC